rnacentral:rRNA from 1 species
UCCUACGGGUGGCUGCAGUGGGGAAUAUUGGACAAUGGGCGCAAGCCUGAUCCAGCAAUGCCGCGUGUGUGAAGAAGGCCUUCGGGUUGUAAAGCACUUUUAUCAGGAGCGAAAUACUACCGGCUAAUAUCCGGUGGGGCUGACGGUACCUGAGGAAUAAGCACCGGCUAACUUCGUGCCAGCAGCCGCGGUAAUACGAAGGGUGCAAGCGUUAAUCGGAAUUACUGGGCGUAAAGCGUGCGUAGGCGGUUUGUUAAGUCUGCUGUGAAAUCCCCGGGCUCAACCUGGGAAUGGCAGUGGAUACUGGCAAGCUAGAGUGUGUCAGAGGAUGGUGGAAUUCCCGGUGUAGCGGUGAAAUGCGUAGAGAUCGGGAGGAACAUCAGUGGCGAAGGCGGCCAUCUGGGACAACACUGACGCUGAGGCACGAAAGCGUGGGGAGCAAACAGGAUUAGAUACCCUAGUAGUCGU